rnacentral:rRNA from 1 species
AUUGAACGCUGGCGGCAGGCCUAACACAUGCAAGUCGAGCGAGCGGCGGACGGGUGAGUAAUGUAUGUGGAUCUGCCCGAUAGAGGGGGAUAACUACGCGAAAGCGUAGCUAAUCCCGCAUACUAUUGGAGCGGUCGAUCUCGGCUUAUCUAGUUGGUGGGGUAACGGCUUACCAAGGCGACGAUCCGUAGCUGGUUUGAGAGGACGACCAGCCACACUGGAACUGAGACACGGCCCAGACUCCUACGGGAGGCAGCAGUGGGGAAUGUUGGACAAUGGGGGAAACCCUGAUCCAGCCAUCCCGCGUGUGCGAGAAGGCCUUCGGGUUGUAAAGUACUUUUGUUAGGGAAGCGGUACCUAAAGAAUAAGCACCGGCUAACUACGUGCCAGCCGCCGCGGUAAUAC